rnacentral:sRNA from 1 species
AAGGUUCGCGCCGAGCGUAGCGAGACAACGACGCAAAGCGGCGGCCCGAAGGGUGAGGAACGCAGUGACGAAUAAUCCUUCCCCCACCACUA